rnacentral:tRNA from 1 species
GGAGUUGUGGCUCAGUGGUAGAGCGCUUGCCUAGCAUGUGUGAGACACUGAGUUCGAUCCUCAGCAACACAU